CCUACGGGAGGCAGCAGUGAGGAAUAUUGGACAAUGGGCUUACGCCUGAACCAGCCAAGUCGCGUGAGGGAAGACUGCCCUAUGGGUUGUAAACCUCUUUUGUCAGGGAGCAACGCCGGCUACGUGUAGCCGGACUGCGAGUACCUGAAGAAAAAGCAUCGGCUAACUCCGUGCCAGCAGCCGCGGUAAUACGGAGGAUUCGAGCGUUAUCCGGCUUUAUUGGGUUUAAAGGGUGCGUAGGCGGAAUGCCAGGUCAGCGGUAAAAUCGCGUGUCUCACUCUCGCUCUGCCGUUGAAACUGGCGUU
rnacentral:rRNA from 1 species